rnacentral:rRNA from 1 species
AUACGUAGGGUGCGAGCGUUGUCCGGAAUUACUGGGCGUAAAGAGCUCGUAGGUGGUUUGUCGCGUCGUCUGUGAAAUUCCGGGGCUUAACUCCGGGCGUGCAGGCGAUACGGGCAUAACUUGAGUACUGUAGGGGAGACUGGAAUUCCUGGUGUAGCGGUGAAAUGCGCAGAUAUCAGGAGGAACACCGGUGGCGAAGGCGGGUCUCUGGGCAGUAACUGACGCUGAGGAGCGAAAGCAUGGGUAGCGAACAGGAUUAGAUACCCUGGUAGGCCAUGCCGUAAACGGUGGGCGCUAGGUGUAGGGGUCUUCCACGACUUCUGUGCCGUAGCUAACGCAUUAAGCGCCCCGCCUGGGGAGUACGGCCGCAAGGCUAAAACUUAAAGGAAUUGACGGGG